GGAUAACCUGCCCUUGGGUCCGGCAUAACCCCGGGAAACUGGGGAUAAUUCCGGAUAACGCAUAUAUGCUGGAAUGCUUUAUGUGUAAAAUGGAUUCGUCUGCCCAAGGAUGGGUCUGCGGCCUAUCAGGUAGUAGUGGGUGUAAUGUACCUACUAGCCUACAACGGGUACGGGUUGUGAGAGCAAGAGCCCGGAGAUGGAUUCUGAGACAUGAAUCCAGGCCCUACGGGGCGCAGCAGGCGCGAAAACUUUACAAUGCGGGAAACCGUGAUAAGGGGACACCGAGUGCCAGCAUCAUAUGCUGGCUGUCCAGAUGUGUAAAAUACAUCUGUUAGCAAGGGCCGGGCAAGACCGGUGCCAGCCGCCGCGGUAACACCGGCGGCCCGAGUGGUGAUCGUGAUUAUUGGGUCUAAAGGGUCCGUAGCCGGUUUGGUCAGUCCUCCGGGAAAUCUGAUAGCUUAACUAUUAGGCUUUCGGGGGAUACUGCCAGGCUUGGAACCGGGAGAGGUAAGAGGUACUACAGGGGUAGGAGUGAAAUCUUGUAAUCCCUGUGGGACCACCUGUGGCGAAGGCGUCUUACCAGAACGGGUUCGACGGUGAGGGACGAAAGCUGGGGGCACGAACCGGAUUAGAUACCCGGGUAGUCCCAGCCGUAAACGAUGCUCGCUAGGUGUCAGGCAUGGCGCGACCGUGUCUGGUGCCGCAGGGAAGCCGUGAAGCGAGCCACCUGGGAAGUACGGCCGCAAGGCUGAAACUUAA
rnacentral:rRNA from 1 species